rnacentral:rRNA from 1 species
UACGAGGGGGGCGAGCGUUGUUCAGAAUUAUUGGGCGUAAAGGGUGCGUAGGCGGUUUGAUAAGUCUGAUGUGAAAUCUAUGGGCUCAACCCAUAGCCUGCAUUAGAAACUGUCGGGCUUGAGUAUGGGAGAGGUGAGUGGAAUUUCCGGUGUAGCGGUGAAAUGCGUAGAUAUCGGAAGGAACACCUGUGGCGAAAGCGGCUCACUGGACCAUUACUGACGCUGAUGCACGAAAGCUAGGGGAGCAAACAGG